rnacentral:lncRNA from 1 species
CACUCUGCUAGUCUCCUAAGUGGCAAAUUAAGACUAAUUUAGAUGGGGUUUACAGAUGAGCCAAAUGUGAACAGCAGAGAAUGAUUUGGUGUUCUCCACUUGGAUCCCCACUCCCAGGUCUCUGCCCGAGCGUGGGCUGUGCCUGGUCCGGCUCCUUCUCUCCCUUGGCUCCCACUGAAGACAUCCACCCUGUGCACGCCGCUUCUCUGACACCACCCUUUAUUUUAGACUCUCUAAUGGUUUCUGGAUUCAAUUUCGUUGGACUUAGUUCAACUUGAUUUGAUUCCCAUUUAUUGAGUCUCCAUGAAACACCGGAAUGAGAAAAGCAGUAUUGCUAUUCAGAAAACCCUGCUAAUUAUUUUUUGGCCUUUUCUGGAGAGCCAGCAACUGCACAGAGCCUGUGCUUAAGAUGGCAGGAUCGCAAGACAGAGCAACUGGAGCAAGUCCUCAUUAAGAAGAGCCGCCCGAUGCAUUUGGACUGCGAUGUGUUACGCCCAUGAGAUUUCAGGGUUAAUUUGUUACCUGGCCGUGGCCUAUCCUCUUCCAGCAGAUACAGAGGCUACUGCAGUUUGCAACUUUGCAGAUACCAGCAGAGGAAGAAAAACCUGGGAGACUGCUGCUAACCUAAUGUGGAGACUUGACUUAAACUUCAGCCAGACAAAGGCGGAAUCUUAAUAUGGAGGGGCCUGGCUCUGCAGGGAGGUCACCUGGGCUGGCUGGAUUUCAAUCCAGUUACACAGCAAAAAAGUUACAACCCAAGCUUUGGCGAUGCUGAGCCUUCUACUCUCAGGGAUUCCAAAGCAUUUGAUAAACUCUUUCUUUGUUCCAUUGUUUACUGACUUCCUAGUGCUUGUCUUGUUCUGCAGUUAUUUAUUUAUUUUUAUUUAUUAGUUUUUACUUAUGAUCUACCCCUCUCUCCCAUCUCCCCGCAACCUGAAGGUAAGGUGCAGGAAGUUAUGGCCUUUGCUUUGUAUGCCAUUACAUUCCCCCUCCCCAGGGAAGGGGUUAGCAUGAUGGUAGGAACUGUUCCCUCUUGGUGACAGAUAAGUGACUGGAGCAGAAUCCACUUCUGCUGAGAAGCUCUGGAUGACCACGGAUAAGCAGGAAGGCAUGUGACAUAUUGGCAAGUGAGUCAGACAGAAAGAGAGACGUGGGAUCGAGUCCUGGCAUUGCCCUUUCUAGCUAUUGUGUCCUUGGACAGGUAAUUUAGCUUCCCUGAGUCUGUUUUCUCAUCUGAAAAAUGAAGAUAGUAAUAAUUAUCCUCGUGGGGCUAUUGAAAAAGUUAAAAUAAUACAAGCAAAGCAUUUAACAUAGGG